rnacentral:lncRNA from 1 species
ACACUUCUCUUUAACCCAUAGGUAGACGAGCUACAAAGACUCUGAUUCUCAUACUCAUAUGAGAUACGUAGGCAGUGGAUGCGACAUCCUUGCGAGUCAUUUUCUUUUAACCUUCCUUUUAGUAAAUAGUACUUUAGAUAUGCCUACACCCUUUAGACUAGAACAACACUUAUGAAAAGGGCUCCUGAGCAGAGCUUCCCCACUUUUAGACCUUCCGUGCGUCUCCGAUCUUGUGGCAUGUCAGUCCGUUCUAUUGCAAAGAGGUAACUGCCUAAGACUUGAUUCAGCGAGCUGCGACACCUACUGCUAGGACAUUGAACACACUGCCCACCCUCCUUUGACACAACUGGUGUCCUCUUUUGUAAGUCCAUGUUCAGAUGGAAAUCCUUAACCCCUAGUUAGCCGAACUACGUUUUUCUCUGAUUCUCAUUCCCGAUGAGAUACGUAGGCAUAAGACGCGACGUCUUACCGAGCACACUUCUCUUUAACCCAUAGGUAGUCGAGCUACAAAGACUCUGAUUCUCAUAAUCAGAUGAGAUACGUAGGCAGUGGAUGCGACAUCCUUGAGAGUCAUUUUCUUUUAACCUUCCUUUUAGUAAAUAAUACUUUAGAUAUACCUACACCCUUUAGACUAGAACAACACUUAUGAAAAGGGCUCCCUAGGAGUACCUAGGAUGUUUUGGGUGCUUAAAACUUUAACCUUCCUUUUAGUAAAUAAUACUUUAGAUAUACCUACACCCUUUAGACUAGAACAACACUUAUGAAAAGGGCUCCCUAGGAGUACCUAGGAUGUUUUGGGUGCUUAAAACCUUC